rnacentral:rRNA from 1 species
GACGAAGGAUGCAAGCGUUAUCCGGAUUCAUUGGGUUUAAAGGGAGCGUAGGUGGCCUUAUAAGUCAGUGGUGAAAUCCUGUUGCUUAACAGCAGAAUUGCCAUUGAUACUGUAGGGCUUGAGUAUAGUUGCCGUUGGCGGAAUAUGACAUGUAGUGGUGAAGUACAUAGAGAUGUCAUAGAACACCGAUUGCGAAGGCAGCUAACGAAACUAUAACUGACACUGAGGCUCGAAAGUGCGGGGAUCAAACAGG